rnacentral:lncRNA from 1 species
UAGGCUAUUUAUUAUUUGGGUUGCUUUUUCAAAAGGAAGUUAAGAAAACUGAAAAAACAAUGCUAUAAUUGGUGGAUUUUUCAAAGUAAAUUGUCUUGAUAAAGAAAAAUGCCUUGAUGAGGAGAAAAAAGUAUAAUCACCUAAUUUAUGAUUUGAAGAAGAUCAGCAGGUCGCUUUGACAACUGAUUAUGAAGCUCAAUGUUUCCCCUCCCCUGCACACAUCUUCAAAACUAAAACUCUUGUAUAUUAUUUAUGAUAUUUAAAUAUUUAAAUAUUAUAUAAAGCUCAUCAAAAAAGAAAAAUGAUCAACAAAAAGAACAAACUACAAUUGAUGCAACAACAAUCAAGUUUAAUGUUAUUGUUGCUUCUCGUUUAUUCCAAACUAAAAAAAGGGUUGAGAUAAUCUUAGGAUUCAUAAGUAAAAGGUUAAAUAAUACAUAAGGUACAUAAUGUGUUCAUCUAGUGCCACUUUAGAGUGAAUGAAAAAGAAAGGACAAACCACCUCAAUUGCAGUUUACCACAAUAAAAGAGUAGACAUGAACUGAAUGAAUCUGAGUACAAGUACACGUGAAAAAAAGAUGAAAUAUAUCAAGAUUAAUAUAACAUACAACUUAAUACCUUACAUUCUACUAUCAACAGUUAGGAUGCAUAGGAAAUAAUAUGCCACCAUGUCAACUGUAGUAAGAAGAUGAAAUCAUCUUAAAUUUCUUAAUCAAGCUUUCAUAACUUAUCCUCAGUUUAGUGCCAUUUUGAAUUAUCUGAACACCUAUUUUCUGAUUAAAUUGGCUGUUGAAUUAUCUUUUCUGAUAAAAGAUGUAAACAGGGAAAACCAUCAGAAAGCUUAGUUUAACCUAUCUUAAAACUUUUCUUUAUCAUAAUAAUAUGUGCUGGACUCGAUUGCUGACCUUAUCUGUACAACAGAUAGAAUCAUGUUAUAAAAUUUGGAUUUGAUCCAUUUAAAAAUAUUAUUUGGCAAGAUAUGAACAUGAACCUAAAUCAAGAAUCAUCAUUUACUUAUAUAAACAAAGCAACUUAGUUCUUCCGUGUGUACAAAAUGAAGAACAUGUAUAAUGAAAAACAAGAAACUCAAAGACCCUAAUUUUCAAUUUUCAAUCUUCAAAUAGGAAAAAAAAACACAAACAUAGGUUGAACAGACAUUUCUUAAGCUUGCUUCAUAAUGAAUAAAUCCAAAAGGUUAGUAAACAAAUGAAAAUAUAUUAAUACGGGAUAGAUAAGACAUUUAAAGAAGAUUAAUUUUAUAAAAGGACAAAUCAUCUCAGAUGCAAUUUAUCACCAUACACAAGUUGACAAUAACUGAAUCUUUGAAUGCAUACAUGCACUAAAUAAGGAGUUGAUGACAACUAAACAUACAUGCAUUUACUCAUCAUAGCAACCAUUGGAAAAAGCAGAGAUGAUCUUAAGAUUGCAAAUAAGCUAAAUCACCAUAAAACUCAAUUGAAAGAGAUAGUUCCAAAUAACCUAGACAUGGGCGAAAGUAAACAUAGAAUGUUAUAUACAUAAAGCAUAUUUUCUUUUUGAGACUGAAUAAACCAUCUGCAUGAGACUAAAAUGACUAUUUUAUCAUCAAAUUUCAAUAAAGUUAAUACAUAUUCAACCUCUUAACAGUAUUUAAACUUUAAAUAUGUAAAGUGUUUAAACUUUUAAAAGUAUUAAUACAUUAAGCUGGGUUUUUUGGCUUAACCUUGUUAAGUCAUUCUAUCCAGAUUAAGCUAAAAAAGAAAGAGUCAUAUAUGGUUGUCCAGAUGAAGUGCUUAACACAUUUAGCUCACUAAUUAAAAAAAGAAAAAAAGAACCCCUUAACACAUUUAGCUCACUAAUCAACAUAACAUGCCUUGUUAAUACAGAAAUUUGAAACUUACAAUAAUGUAACAAAAAGAAAACUUAAAACACAAUGCUACAAUUUGGUGAUCUUAAAAAUGGUAAUGUGUAUAAUCAGAAAUCUAAAAGUAUAUAAUUGAAAAACUGUUCAAAGUAAAAUGCUCUAAUAAGAAAAAACUGAUAGACUUUUCAAAGUCAAAUGCCUUCAUAAGAAAAACUUUUAAAGUAGAUAUUGCAACAUAAAUAAACCUGAGAAGUGUAAUGCUAUAAAGAGUUUGAUUUUUGAAUGGGAUACAAUUGAAAGUACAAUGCAAUAUUAGGUAUGUUUUUUUAAAGUAAAAUGCGUUGAUAAGAAAAAAAAAUCAAAAGUAAAGCUACAAUGUUGUAACAAAAAUAAAACUGAAAAAUGCAAUGCUAUUAUUUGGGUUGCUUUUUCAAAAGGAAGUGUACUACUUAUAAUAAGAAAACUGAAGAAACAAUGCUAUAAUUGGUGGAUUUUUUUCAAAGUAAAUUGUCUUGAUAAAGAAAAAAAAAAUGAUAGAUUUUUUAAAAGUAAAAUGCCUCGAAGAGGAGAAAAAUGAAAGUAUAAUGCUAUUAUUGAAAUAAAAAGUAUAAUCACCUAAAAACUAAANGAUAUAUAUAUAUAUAUAAAUAUUAUAUAAAGCUCAUCAAAAAAGAAAAAUGAUCAACAAAAAAAACAAACUACAAUUGAUGCAACAACAAUCAAGUUUAAUGUUAUUGUCGCUUCUCUUUUAUUCCAAACUAAAAAAAAAUGGGGAAAAAGUUGAGAUAAUCUAAGGAUUCAUAAUUAAAAGGUUAAAUAAUAUAUGGAUUAUAAGUACAUAAUAGUAGAUGCUAAGGAUUAGAAAAAUGUUUAAAGUACAUUUUACAACGAUUAGAAAAAUGUUCAAAUCUGGAAUUAAAAGUGUGACCUUCAGUGCAUUUUGAAUUAUCUGAAAGCCUAUUUUCUGAUUAAACAUACUUACAUUUUUUUCAUUAUUUUAAAUGCGAAAAAUAAUACAAAAUUUCAUCUUUGUUCUAAAUGAUUGACCAAGCAUCUCAAAGAAUGAGCUUAACAAGAAUGAAGAGCAUGAUGAAUCGACUAUCAGAAAAAUUACAAAUAAAUAAAAUCAAAAGAUUCUAAGAUCAUCUCUGUACAAAAUGAAGAACAUAUAUAAUGAAAAACAGGAAACUCAAAUUAAGACCCUAAUUUUCAAAUAGGAAAGCAUUAUAUAAAGAACCUACCUACCUAUGUCAUUCAAAAAUCAAAACCCUUCAAAAAAAAAUCCACCAAAGAAGAAUCAACAAGAGCAAGACAAUUGACAGAUGAAAAAACAAAAUAUGAAAAACACAGACAUGGGGUUGAAGAGACAUUUUUUAAGCUUGCUUCCUAAUGAAUAAAUCCAAAAGGUUUUUAAACAAAUGAAAAUAUAUUAAUACGGGAUUGAUAAGACAUUUAAAUAAGAACAGACUAACCAUAAAAUCAGCAAUUGAGAAGAACUGACUUUCAGUAAACAAAUGUGCAUUUCCCUCCACUAAAGCAACUGCAUAAACAAAUUAGAUGUUCUUAAGAUUAAUAAUGAAAAGGUUACUAACCGAAAAAGUAAUUAGCUACAGAAAAAUCAAUACAAUGGAAGAGAAGUAGAGGUGACAAGAACUGAAUAUAUGGAUUCAAAAUAUCCAUAUCUACAUUGCUAUAAUCCAGUGUCUGAAUAAGGAGUUGAUGAGAGUAAACAUACAAACAUGCAUUUACUCAUCAUAGCUACCAUUGGAAAAAGCAGAAGAGAUGAAAUUAAGAUUGGAAAUAAGCCAAAACAAACAUCUGAUUUGGAUACAGGAUAUGCACAUAGGCUAUAAAACAGAGUAUAUGUCUGGUUCCUUUCUUUCCAUUUACUAUGAGGAAUCUUGAAACAAAAAUAGAAGAGGGUAUGGAUAAAAAUGUAAACCUGCUCAAACACACACAAAUACAUUCACAUCAUAAUUCACCAAGUUCUUCCCAAAAACAGAAUAUUUGUUAACCAAAGCAUGACAGAAUAUUUGUUCACAUAAGACAUGAAUUAACCAAAUCAUCAUUGAUCAAAAGGAAGAUAAGAUUAAAAAAAAUAAUAACAACUUAAGCUACCACAUAAAGACCAUUAUAGAAACGAAGAUACUUUUAUAAAUCAUCAUCAUUUGUCAGACUCCUAUAUGUCUCUUGAAUACAUGAAUACAUAAACCAAACAUAAAGAGAAAUUUAAGUGAUGAUGAUCCUCAUGUCCUAUCAUUGAAGAGAAAUAUAUGUGAUAUCCUUUUAUUUCUACUCCUACAACAAAGUACAUAAAAAUAACUUAAAAUUGCUCAUUUACAGAAACCCAUAAAGAAAACACACUUGUUGAUGAAUAAAUUCAAAGGGUUAUCAAAAGACAAUUUACAAAUGAUUCUAAGAUUAUCUCUGUACAAAAUGAAGAACAAGAUGAAAAACAAGAAACGGACAACCAAGAAACUCAAAAACCCUAAUAUAAAUAGGAAAGAAUUAUAUAAGGAACCUCUGCCCUUUGGAAAAAAUCCAUCAAAGAAGAAUCAAGAACAACACAAUUAAUAGAUGAUAAAACAAAAUACGAAAAACACAAGCAUGGGUUGAUGAGACAUUUCUUGAGCUUGCUUCCUAAUGAACAAAUCCAAAAAGUUAUUAAGAAAUGAAAACAUUUUUAUAUGGGAUUAGAUAAGACAUUUAAAGAAGAUUAAUUUUAUCAAACAGAAAAAAUAAAAAGUUAUAAAAUAGAAAGGAUGCACAUGAAAAUGAAUAAAGGGGUUAAAAUUAAGAAUGGAUAAUAGAGAGAAGUAGGUGAAUAAGAAAGGUCAAACCAUCUCAACUGCAAUUUUGAACCAUACACGAGUUGAAAAUAACUGAAUCUUUGUCUGAAUAAAGAGUUUUACCAGUUAAGUAAUUUUGUCCAGAUUAAGCUAAAAGAGAAACAGUCAUAUAUAGUUAUCAUUACUAAGUGCUUAACCCAUUAAGCUCAUUAAGUCAUUUUAAACAUAGUGUCCUGACAUUAUCCCAAAGCUCAUAUCAUCAGAUAAUAGAGAUAUUCCACAAACAUUUAUGAGCAAGACAAAAACACCAAAAUAUGAAGAGUAACAACUAACAAUAAUACCACUGAAUGCAAGAGAGAGAAUUGACACAGGUUUGUACUCCCCAACUUUCAACAAGAAACCCAAAAAAAGGAAACAGUUAUUAAAGAAUAAAUCCAAAUUUUAAUUAAACAUACGAAAUUAUUUUAAUUUGGGAUGGAUAAGCCAUUUAAAGAAGAUUAAUUUUGCAUAUAAAUUUAAAAGCUAUAUGAUAGAAAGGGGGUGAAUAAGAAUGGACAAACCGGAUGAACUGCAUAUUUUCCUCCAUUCUAGCAACUGUAGAAAAAACAAGAUGAUAUUAAGAUUCAUAACAAAAAAGUUAGUAAUAAAGGAAAAAGUUCAUUAUGCUGCUAUGUUUUGGUUUUGCUUCAACAACGAAUUAAAAAAACUUCAUUGUCACCAAAAGAUUGUUAUGAAAUUCUUGAUUACAAUAAUAGAUUAAAAAGAAAGAAAUAAGUUCCAAAAUAGUAAAUUUGGUGGACAAAUAAGAAGGCAGUGUAUAAAAGCAUGAAUAAAACCAAAAUAUCACUAUCAUUCGUUCUGUGUCUUCUUAGUUCUACAUAGUUCACCAAGAAAGUCGAGCAAUAAACUUAAAGAAGGAUCAAGAACGUGAUCAAUCGACUAGGUAAAAUAAUUGCAAUUUGAUAAAACCAAUGGAUUUUAAGAUUAUGAGAUUAUCUCUUUUCUAAAUGAAGAACAGAAUGAAAAACAAGAAACUCGUGAUCAAGAAACUCGAAAACCCUAAUUUUCAAGAUGGAAACAAUUGUAUAAUGAACCUUUGCCUUUCAAAUAUGAAAACCCUAAUUUUCGUGGGUUGAAGUUGAAGAGAUUUUUCUUGGGGUAGCUUGGUGUUGAAGAAGAAUGAAGGGUUUAGGUAUAUGUAGGUUUCUGACGGGGUUUUAUGUGGGCUAAC